GAUGAACGCUGACAGAAUGCUUAACACAUGCAAGUCUACUUGAACUUCGGUUUGGGUGGCGGACGGGUGAGUAACGCGUAAAGAACUUGCCUCACAGUUAGGGACAACAUUUGGAAACGAAUGCUAAUACCUGAUAUUAUGAUUUUAGGGCAUCCUAAGAUUAUGAAAGCUAUAUGCGCUGCGAGAGAGCUUUGCGUCCCAUUAGCUAGUUGGAGAGGUAACGGCUCACCAAGGCGAUGAUGGGUAGCCGGCCUGAGAGGGUGAACGGCCACAAGGGGACUGAGACACGGCCCUUACUCCUACGGGAGGCAGCAGUGGGGAAUAUUGGACAAUGGACCAAAAGUCUGAUCCAGCAAUUCUGUGUGCACGAUGACGUUUUUCGGAAUGUAAAGUGCUUUCAGUUGGGAAGAAAAAAAUGACGGUACCAACAGAAGAAGUGACGGCUAAAUACGUGCCAGCAGCCGCGGUAAUACGUAUGUCACAAGCGUUAUCCGGAUUUAUUGGGCGUAAAGCGCGUCUAGGUGGUUAUGUAAGUCUGAUGUGAAAAUGCAGGGCUCAACUCUGUAUUGCGUUGGAAACUGCAUGACUAGAGUACUGGAGAGGUAAGCGGAACUACAAGUGUAGAGGUGAAAUUCGUAGAUAUUUGUAGGAAUGCCGAUGGGGAAGCCAGCUUACUGGACAGAUACUGACGCUAAAGCGCGAAAGCGUGGGUAGCAAACAGG
rnacentral:rRNA from 1 species